CUCAAUCAAUCAAUCAAAGUGAUACAAUCAAACAUACUGUUUUGAGUGAUCAACAAUCCUGUUUGUGACUUUUUCGUUCCUAUGGGAUAACAGCGUUUGUCGCUGUAUCCCUCACUGUUUAUAUUCAAGUUCAAUCGUAUUUGUGUAGUGAAUAUCAGAAAAGAACAGUGAGCAUGAAUCUCAAAAGAAUGACUUCAAGCAAAUGAGCCCAAAUUUACUGCUUCGAUUAUGUUUAUCCUUUUUUUACAAACCGUCACACGUCUGAAACCGUUACUGAUUUUUAAAAGAAAUAAGCAUGAAAAAAUUAUUCGAUGCAUUAAAGGCGGUUUUGAAUUCAAACAAUGAUUUAGAUCUGGACAUUGACCUGAUUGUUGAAGUCUACUUAGAGAAGCCAUAUUAUUCAUUAUAUUACUAAUUACUGACUGGACAUUUUUGUUGAGUGACCGUGAAUUGCUCUUUGCAACUCAAAAGACUGAUAAAGACUUGCUGUUGUUCUAAUGUGAAAUGGACUUGAUAAUGAAAUAAAAUUGAAUCUGCCAAAGAAAAGACCUGUCAGAAUAUUUUUGAAUCUGCAGAUAUUUCAAAUAAAAUGUAAGAAAAACUAUGAAAAUUAGUUUUUCAGAAAAGUUAUCAAUAUGAAUGAAUAAACAAAAAAAUCUUGGCCUUAAUCUAAAAGAUCUAUAUAUAUCUUUGUUUAUUUAUAGGAUUUGAAUAAAUAAUUUACUAAUUC